rnacentral:tRNA from 1 species
GGUCGGUUAGCUCAGUUGGUAGAGCGUCGUGCUGAUAACGCGAAGGUCGUGGGUUCGAGCCCCACAUUGACAA